ACCUCAGUAGAUCAAGGCAGAUCGUCCCUCUCUAGUUCGAACAGACCUUGGUAAAAGGGAAGCCCGGCUUCCUGAGGUUCGAAUCCUCCCUGAGGCA